UUAAAUAAUUAAUGUAAAAUUCCUGUUGGUUGCAAUUUAUUGAGAGCUUUUGGUUGGUAGCAACAAAUUACUGCGCCAAUACCUUUAAAGCAACAGAUAAUUAACAGAAUAUGAACAGUAGUACGUGUUCCCAAGAUAAUUGUAUACAGAAACAGUUAGCAGUUGAGUCAAAAUUGAAUUAAAUUUUUCAGGUUUGUUAUGCUUCAGCUUUUUGUUGUGAAACCAUUAAAUCUUUUCAUAUUAAUUAUUCAUAUUACAAUAAAUAAAAAUCUUUUCUUCUGACAUACAAAGCCGACUCACAACUCUUGCAUCUUUUGAACUACGAUUACAAAUGACUGCUUCAGAAUGCUGGUGCUUAAUUUGAAAAAUAUUUUCAAAACAAAAUAUAAGCUUGUUUCAACAAAAUUAUUCUGCAAAUUUUUAUAUGAUUAUACAAAUGAUUGGGUCAAUUUUCUGUAAACAAAAUUAUGUUUCAUAUGUUAAGGAGAUUUUUUAUUGUGCAAAAUCACAUUCUGCUCAUAUUGAGAUUUAUGUUUAAUGGCAGUCAAGAUUUAAGUAAUUAAUUACAAAAUGAAAUCAUAGAAAAGGAGCGUAGGUGAUAUUAUAUGUUUUUUUAUGAGUAAUUUUGGCCUUUCUUUGUGUGGUUCUUUUUUACUUAUUUAGACCAUAUCAUCAAGAAUUUGUUGGUCGAGAGAAUUACGAAGUGCAGCCCACGCAUUUAUGUAAGCAGAAUCUGUUAUGCUGUUAUAUAUGCUGUUAUAUUCACGGAUCCGAAGAAAUUGAGACAAAACAAUUUGGGCAUUAUAAUGGUGUUAUAUUUGCUGUUAUGUUAUGGCGUUAUGUUAUGGUGUUAAAUUUAAAGAUGUUUGUUGUUAUUUUUACUGAUGGUUUUGCAUUUAUACUUGCUGUUAUAUUUGAUGUCACACGUGACAGCAAAUAUAUCAGCAAAAUAUCAUUGCAAUAAAUAAAAAAUGUUGAAACUGGCACAUUAAUUUUAAAGCGGUAUCACGAGAUGGCAAAAGUGAAAGGAAAAUGAAAUGAAAGCAAUUAAGAUUAACUUUAAAGAAAAAUCUGAAAUAGUUAUUGCUAUCAGCAGUAAUUUUUUUGUAUUUUGUGCAGCUGCUCACGAAACCUUCAAUUUGUCUAUAAUUGUAGAAG